rnacentral:rRNA from 1 species
CCCAGCGGCGAUAGCUCGUUAAAUACAGUUGUUCCCAAUAAAUCACAAAGUUGAGUAACGUUGCGCGUGUUUGGUAUCCGAAUUGGUGACCAUCUGGGCAAUUUUUCGUCCCCUCUCAGG